rnacentral:rRNA from 1 species
GAUUAAGCCAUGCAUGUGUCAGUACAGGCCGCUCUAAGGCUAAACCGUGAAUGGCUCAUUAAAUCAGUUAUGGUUCAUGUGAUCUCAACCCCCUUACUUGGAUAACCCUGGUAAUUCUAGGGCUAAUACGUGACGACUCAUACUCCGACUGGAAGGGAGGAGUGCUUUUAUUAGAUGAGAACCAACGGCGGAUCUCGGUCCGCCGGACGCCAACUGCCGAUUCUGAAUAACUUUGUGCCGAGAGCACGGCCUGGGCGCCGGCUCCGUAUCUUUCGAGUUUCUGCCUUAUCAUGCUGUGGAUUGUAGGCCAUGCGCCUACUGUAGCUGUCACGGGUGACGAAGAAUCAUAGUUCGAUUCCGGAGAGGGAGCCUGAGAAACGGCUACCACAUUCAAGGAAGGCAGCAGGCACGCAAAUUACCCAAUCCCGGCCCAGGGAGGUAGUGACGAAAAAUAACAAUGCGGGACUCAUCCGAGUCUGCGUAAUUGGAAUGAGCACACUUUAAGUCCUUUAGCGACAACCGAUUGGAGGGCAAUUCUGGUGCCAGCAGCCGCGGUAAUUCCAGCUCCAAUAGCGUAUAUUAAAGUUGUUGCGGUUAAAAAGCUCGUAGUCCGAGAUCAGUUACGGACUGGCCGGGGAGGUCGCUUCCCCGCCAGGCUCCGAACGCAGGCCUCCCUCAAAAGGGGGGGCCGCANCCGGUUUUUCCGGGUGUCCCGCGCGGCCGGCCCGUUCACCUUGAACAAAUGAGAGUGCUCAGAGCAUUCUACUCCAAGUAAAAGCCCGAAUGUUACCUGCAUGGAAUGAUGGAAGAUGAUCUCGAUUCCAUCCUGGUCUGGGAAUCCGAGAUAAUGAUAAACAGGGACUGUCGGGGGCAUCCGUACUACGACGUGAGAGGUGAAAUUCAGUGACCACCGUAGGACGAACGACAGCGAAAGCAUUUGCCAAGAAUGUCUUCGUUGAUCAAGAACGAAAGUUAGAGGAUCGAAGGCGAUCAGAUACCGCCCUAGUUCUAACCCUAAAUGAUGCUGACAAGCAACCUGCCGUCGCUAUUCCCAUGGCUUGGAGGGCCGCCCCCGGGAAACCUCAAGUUUUUGAGUUCCGGGGGUAGUAUGGUUGCAAAACUGAAACUUAAAGGAAUUGAUGGAAGGGCACCACAAGGAGUGGAGCCUGCGGCUUAAUUUGACUCAACACGGGAAACCUCACCAGGCCCGGACACCAGAAGGAUUGACAGAUUAAGAGCUCUUUCUCGAUUUGGUGGGUGGUGGUGCAUGGCCGUUCUUAGUCGGCGGAGUGAUUUGUUAUGGCUAAUUCCGGUAACGAACGAGAAUAUGGCCUGCUAAAUAGUCGACGUGGGUCCCGCUGUGCACGGGCCCCGUAUCGACCCUAUAUCUUCUUAGAGGGAUGAGCAGCGAGUCUAGCUGCAGGAGAUUGAGNAAUAACAGGUCNGUGAUGCCCUUAGAUGUCCUGGGCUGCACGCNCGCUACACUGGACGGGUCAGCGGGUUCNCCUUCUCCGAGAGGAGCGGGAAAUCGCUGCAAACCCNUCCGUGAUAGGGAUUGGGGCUUGCCAUUGUUUCCCAUGAACGAGGAAUUCCCAGUAAGCGCAAGUCAUCAGCUUGCGUUGAUUAAGUCCCUGCCCUUUGUACACACCGCCCGUCGCUACUACCGAUUGAAUGAUUUAGUGAGGCCUUCGGACUGGCGGUCCUGGACUGGGUUCCGCUUCCGGCGGACCCGGCCACCACUCGCCGGAAAGAUGUCCAAACUUGAUCAUUUAGAGGAAG